UAAGAGGUCCCGCCUGCCCUGUGACUAUUAGUUUAACGGCCGCGGUAUUUUGACCGUGCAAAGGUAGCGCAAUCACUUGUCUUUUAAAUGAAGACCUGUAUGAAUGGCACGACGAGGGCUUAACUGUCUCCUCUUUCAAGUCAAUGAAAUUGAUCUCCCCGUGCAGAAGCGGGGAUAAAACCAUAAGACGAGAAGACCCUAUGGAGCUUUAGACACCAAAGAAGAUCCUGUCAAAAGUCCCUAAACAAAAGGCCAGAACCAAUGGAAACCUUCCCGAAUGUCUUUGGUUGGGGCGACCACGGGGAAAUAAACAACCCCCGCGUGGAAUGGGAGCACUAUUCUCGCUCCUACAGCCAAGAGCCACAGCUCGAAUCAACAGUAUUUCUGACCUAUAAGAUCCGGCAGCGCCGAUCAACGGACCGAGUUACCCUAGGGAUAACAGCGCAAUCCCCUUUUAGAGCCCAUAUCGACAAGGGGGUUUACGACCUCGAUGUUGGAUCAGGACAUCCUAAUGGUGCAGCCGCUAUUAAGGGUCCGUUUGUUCAACG
rnacentral:rRNA from 1 species